rnacentral:rRNA from 1 species
AGACGAACCGUCCAAACGUUAUUCGGUAUCACUGGGCUUAAAGCGUGCGUAGGCGGCUUGGUAGGUGAGAUGUGAAAGCCCACGGCUCAACCGUGGAAUUGCGUUUCAAACCCCCAAGCUCGAGGAAGAUAGGGGUGAUGGGAACUUAUGGUGGAGCGGUGAAAUGCGUUGAUAUCAUAGGGAACACCGGUGGCGAAAGCGCAUCACUGGAUCUUUUCUGACGCUGAGGCACGAAAGCUAGGGUAGCGAACGGGAUUAGAAACCCCGGUAGUCC